ACCCGCUGAACUUAAGCAUAUCAAUAGGCGGAGGAAAAGAAACCAACAGGGAUUGCCCUAGUAACGGCGAGUGAAGCGGCAACAGCUCAAAUUUGAAAUCUGGCGUCUUUGGCGUCCGAGUUGUAAUUUGCAGAGGGCGCUUUGGCAUUGGCAGCGGUCCAAGUUCCUUGGAACAGGACGUCACAGAGGGUGAGAAUCCCGUACGUGGUCGCUGGCCUUUACCGUGUAAAGCCCCUUCGACGAGUCGAGUUGUUUGGGAAUGCAGCUCUAAAUGGGAGGUAAAUUUCUUCUAAAGCUAAAUACUGGCCAGAGACCGAUAGCGCACAAGUAGAGUGAUCGAAAGAUGAAAAGCACUUUGGAAAGAGAGUUAAAAAGCACGUGAAAUUGUUGAAAGGGAAGCGCUUGCAGCCAGACUUGCCUGUAGUUGCUCAUCCGGGUUUUUACCCGGUGCACUCUUCUAUAGGCAGGCCAGCAUCAGUUUGGGCGGUUGGAUAAAGGUCUCUGUCAUGUACCUCUCUUCGGGGAGAACUUAUAGGGGAGACGACAUGCAACCAGCCCGGACUGAGGUCCGCGCAUCUGCUAGGAUGCUGGCGUAAUGGCUGU
rnacentral:rRNA from 1 species